GCCUAAGGAUAUGGGGGGGCGGGGGGGGGCGGGGCUGGAGAACUACCAGCUCCUGAGUCCAUAGGUGCCCCACCACGCUGUCCCCAGGGGCCUCUGGGCACAAGUCGCGCACACUUGCUUUGCUUCGCAGCCUCUCUCUCUUGCUUGCUUUUUUUUUUUUUGGAUGGUGAGAGUCGAAAGGCAAAGGGCACUGGUGGCUGGAAAGAGAAGGAAAGGAGGCAAGAAGCAGGGUGAGUAGUGUGGGGUGGGUCUGUCUCUCCAGAGGGCGCAGGAGCUCAGAGUCUGGGUGACAGCUAACCACAACAGAAACAAAGUAUUGCAGAGAAUGUGGAUGGAAUGCCCAUGUGUUACUGGGGAGAAUGUCACUCAGUUACAGUUUCUGCAACAAAUGCCCGACACAAGCAGUUUGCAAAGAGACAAGGUUCAAGCCCAGGAUCAAUUGGCCCUGUUACUUUUGGAGCCUGUAGAGAGGCAGCACAUCCCGGUGGAGAGCGUGUGCCAGAGGGAAGCAACUUUCCUCGUGGAGAAGACACCAGGGUCCCCAAGUCCCCUUCCAAAGACCUAGCUUCCUCCCAGUGGGCCUCACCCCUUCAAGAGCCCACCAACCCACAGCAGCUUCAGGCUGGGAGCCAAGCCUUCAACAAAUAUCUUUAGAGAAGCAUUUAAGAUCCAGCCUCUAUCCCAGCACCCAAGCAUUCAAGAUCCAACCUCU